rnacentral:lncRNA from 1 species
UUAUUGACUAAUUAUUCCACUGUGAAGCAUUGAUAUCGUGAUAAGAUACCUUGUAUGUUUAUAAAAAGAGUUCCUACGAGCAUACGGUAGUUGUCAUGACUCUCGAUUUAUAAUCUCAGAUUGGAAGCGUGACAAUAAUAAUGAUUAGUUUAGUGAUGGGUCAGAUCAACUUUCAAUACAUUCAUGGAUCAAAGUUGUUGCCAGAGAUAAUGAGCGAAUCAUAUUGGAAAGGUGGGACUUUUAGUCCAUGUGCUUUUGAUUUAAUUUUCUUUCGUGUAGGCCCG